rnacentral:rRNA from 1 species
UGGGGAAUUUUGCACAAUGGGGGAAACCCUGAUGCAGCGACGCCGCGUGAUUUAGAAGGCCUUCGGGUUGUAAAAAUCUUUUCUAUGGGAAGAAAAUGACAGUACCAUAGGAAUAAGGACCGGCUAAUUACGUGCCAGCAGCCGCGGUAAUACGUAAGGUCCGAGCGUUGUCCGGAAUCAUUGGGCGUAAAGGGUACGUAGGCGGGUAAGCAAGUUAGAAGUGAAAUCCUAUAGCUCAACUAUAGUAAGCUUUUAAAACUGCUCAUCUUGAGGUAUGGAAGGGAAAGUGGAAUUCCUAGUGUAGCGGUGAAAUGCGCAGAUAUUAGGAGGAAUACCGGUGGCGAAGGCGACUUUCUGGCCAUAAGCUGACGCUGAGGUACGAAAGCGUGGGUAGCAAACAGG